rnacentral:rRNA from 1 species
UUGAUUCUUCGGAGGAUUUGUUGGGCGUCNAGCGGCGGACGGGUGAGUAAUGCCUAGGAAAUUGCCUUGAUGUGGGGGAUAACCAUUGGAAACGAUGGCUAAUACCGCAUAAUGCCUACGGGCCAAAGAGGGGGANCUUCGGACCUCUCGCGUCAAGAUAUGCCUAGGUGGGAUUAGCUAGUUGGUGAGGUAAUGGCUCACCAAGGCGACGAUCCCUAGCUGGUCUGAGAGGAUGAUCAGCCACACUGGAACUGAGACACGGUCCAGACUCCUACGGGAGGCAGCAGUGGGGAAUAUUGCACAAUGGGCGAAAGCCUGAUGCAGCCAUGCCGCGUGUAUGAAGAAGGCCUUCGGGUUGUAAAGUACUUUCAGUUGUGAGGAAGGGUGUGUAGUUAAUAGCUGCGCAUCUUGACGUUAGCAACAGAAGAAGCACCGGCUAACUCCGUGCCAGCAGCCGCGGUAAUACGGAGGGUGCGAGCGUUAAUCGGAAUUACUGGGCGUAAAGCGCAUGCAGGUGGUUCAUUAAGUCAGAUGUGAAAGCCCGGGGCUCNACCUCGGAACUGCAUUUGAAACUGGUGAACUAGAGUGCUGUAGAGGGGGGUAGAAUUUCAGGUGUAGCGGUGAAAUGCGUAGAGAUCUGAAGGAAUACCAGUGGCGAAGGCGGCCCCCUG